rnacentral:rRNA from 1 species
UACGUAGGCAGCAAGCGUUGUUCGGAGUUACUGGGCGUAAAGGGUGUGUAGGCGGUUGUUUAAGUUUGGUGUGAAAUCUCCCGGCUCAACUGGGAGGGUGCGCCGAAUACUGAAUGACUAGAGUGCGGGAGAGGUGAGUGGAAUUCCUGGUGUAGCGGUGAAAUGCGUAGAUAUCAGGAGGAACACCGGUGGUGUAGACGGCUCACUGGACCGUAACUGACGCUGGAAACACGAAAGCGUGGGUAGCAAACAGG